UAGGAGGAGCGGGCUUCGUCGAAGGCGAAUUUUCCAUGCCCGCGACGAAAUGCCGCCGAGCGGAGCGAGGGGGCGAUACAAA
rnacentral:sRNA from 1 species